rnacentral:rRNA from 1 species
GACGAACGCUGGCGGCGUGCUUAACACAUGCAAGUCGAACGAAGUGGCGAACGGGUGAGUAACGCGUAAUCAACCUGCCCUUCAGGGGGGGACAACAGUUGGAACCGACUGCUAAUACCCCAUACUGAAGGAGGGGUUUGCGUCGGAUUGGCUAGGUGGGGGGGUAACGGCCCACUAAGGCGAUGAUCAGUAGCCGGGCGGGGAGGAUGGACGGGCACAUUUGGACUGGAACAAGGCCCAGACUCCUACGGGAGGGAACAGGGGGGAAACUUUCGCAAUGGACGAAAGUCUGACGGAGCAACGCCGCGUGAGUGGUGACGGCCUUCGGGUUGUAAAGCUCUGUUAAUCGGGACGCGGUACCGGAAUAGAAAGCCACGGCUAACUACGUGCCAGCAGCCGCGGUAAUAC